UACGUAGGGGUCCCGGAGCGUUGUCCGGAAUUAUUGGGCGUAAAGGGUGCGUAGGCGGUCCUACAAGUCAGAGGUGAAAAGGCUACGGCUCAACCGUAGUAAGCCUUUGAAACUGUAGGACUUGAGUGCAGGAGAGGAGAGUGGAAUUCCCAGUGUAGCGGUGAAAUGCGUAGAUAUUGGGAGGAACACCAGUUGCGAAGGCGGCUCUCUGGACUGUAACUGACGCUGAGGCACGAAAGCGUGGGGAGCGAACAGG
rnacentral:rRNA from 1 species